rnacentral:pre_miRNA from 1 species
AAAAAAAUCAGACCGUCGGUCUACCGAGCAAUAUCACCCACCCGGUGGAAGAUUUUUUAAUUUUUUU